AUGUAUGGUCCCACUUUACCAGAAAAGCCACUGUCUUAUCCCUUACCUCCAUGCUUUCUUCAAACCAAAGAUGUAACCGGUAUAUUUAAAUACAUUAGUUCCACAAGGUAUAUAUCAAGUCCAUGUUCCCUAUACAUUAGCAUUAAUUCAGUUAAUCAAAUUUAUAUAAAGUUUAAUUUAUUAAUCAAUCUUUCAGUAAUCCAGUUGCCACAAUAUUGA